rnacentral:rRNA from 1 species
AGAUUGAACGCUGGCGGCAGGCCUAACACAUGCAAGUCGAGCGGUAGAGAGGUGCUUGCAUCUCUUGAGAGCGGCGGACGGGUGAGUAAUGCCUAGGAAUCUGCCUAGUGGUGGGGGAUAACGUUCGGAAACGGACGCUAAUACCGCAUACGUCCUACGGGAGAAAGCGGGGGACCUUCGGGCCUCGCGCCAUUAGAUGAGCCUAGGUCGGAUUAGCUAGUUGGUGAGGUAAUGGCUCACCAAGGCGACGAUCCGUAACUGGUCUGAGAGGAUGAUCAGUCACACUGGAACUGAGACAGGUCCAGACUCGACGGAGCAGCAGUGGAAUAUGGACAAGUGGGACAAAGCCUAGAUCCAGCCAGUGCCGCGUGUGAGAAGAAGGUUCUUACGGAAUUGUAAAGCCUAAGUUUAACGGUUGGAAGGUAAGGUUACGUAAACCGUAAUUACGUUAGACUAACGUUUGAACCGUUACGA